AGCGAACGCUGGCGGCAGGCCUAACACAUGCAAGUCGAACGGAUCCUUCGGGAUUAGUGGCGGACGGGUGAGUAACACGUGGGAACGUGCCCUUUGGUUCGGAACAACUCAGGGAAACUUGAGCUAAUACCGGAUGUGCCCUUCGGGGGAAAGAUUUAUCGCCAUUGGAGCGGCCCGCGUCUGAUUAGCUAGUUGGUGAGGUAACGGCCCACCAAGGCGACGAUCAGUAGCUGGUCUGAGAGGAUGAUCAGCCACACUGGGACUGAGACACGGCCCAGACUCCUACGGGAGGCAGCAGUGGGGAAUCUUGCGCAAUGGGCGAAAGCCUGACGCAGCCAUGCCGCGUGAAUGAUGAAGGUCUUAGGAUUGUAAAAUUCUUUCAGCGGGGACGAUAAUGACGGUACCCGCAGAAGAAGUUCCGGCUAACUUCGUG
rnacentral:rRNA from 1 species